AUGAGGAUGUCGAUAAUAUAAACUCUUUCAUGAUUGAAAGAUUCCGGGGAAGCCAUAACUUAUACAAGCUAUGACAGUAUUCUAGAUGAUAGUGGCAGCGUAUAUCCUACAGAAUUUCUAAAUAAACUAUGUCCGGGAGGAAUGGGUCCUCACAAUCUUGUGCUAAAAAAAAACUGCCCAUCAAUAUUGCUCAGAAACCUUUUGCCCUCUUCGGGUCUAUGUAAUGGAACACGCCUUAUAUGUAAAAGGUUUUUGCCCAAUUUAAUCGAGUGCGUGAUUUCUGUCGGGCAGUAUCAAGGGGAACAUGUUUUAUACCCAGAAUCAAGCUCAGGCCAUCAAGUUCUCAGAAAUAUCCUUUCCAAUUUCAGAGGAAUCAAUUUCCCAUCAAACUGAGCUUUGCAAUGACCAUUAACAAGUCACAAGGGCAGACUUUAGAUCAAGUGUUGGUUUAUCUUCCCCGUUCAUGUUUUUCACAUGGUCAAUUGUAUGUGGCUCUUUCACGGGCACGAUCUGCCGAUAAAGUGAAGGUUAUAUCAGUAGCUCCUUCUUUACAGCAUUCAAAGAACUCUGUUAAAAAUGUGGUAUCUUAUACUGUCCUAAAGUUAGCAGGAGUCAUCUAACCAACUAUGCAUUAACCAAGAAAAGAAAAAGCUCUUCAAGAGAAGGAUGGGCCAACAACUUAUUGAUGAUCCAAGCCUGUAAAAGCUAUGUGCCUAAUGAUAAACUUACUAGGGUGAAUUGCAAAGCCUUUUAUAUGUAUAGGAUACAAUUCAAGUUGGAAAUAUUCUUAAAUUAAAGCUUGGUUUAUUUUACAUUGCAGGAAGCUUGUAUUUAGGAAAUGAGGAGAUAUUUGUUCAACUUUAGGAUGUUAAGAUGCUAAAAAACUCUACAUUUUGGGGCCAAAAAUUAUUCUUCUGCUUGGUUUUUAGACCUAUGUGGUUACACAUUAGCCCACUAAGGUAAUAUAAAGGGAUUUGCUACUUGGCCUUUCGGUUUUUCCACACAACAAAGCAAACUUACCAGAAACUUAAUUAACCAUGGAAGGUAUAGUUCUCUCUUUUACAACAUUCCUUGCAUUUUAGUUUAAUUUUACUUGUGCAUAUUUUUAUUCCUAUAGAAAUUUCUUGUGAGUUACUUGAUUAGUUAGAAUUAGCUAGAUAAGUGAUGAAAAAUUAUGCAUUUCAUAAA